CAGCCGCCGCGGGAAAACGUAGGGUGCGAGCGUUAAUCGGAAUUACUGGGCGUAAAGCGUGCGCAGGCGGUUCGUUAAGACAGAUGUGAAAUCCCCGGGCUUAACCUGGGAACUGCAUUUGUGACUGACGGGCUAGAGUAUGGCAGAGGGGGGUAGAAUUCCACGUGUAGCAGUGAAAUGCGUAGAGAUGUGGAGGAAUACCGAUGGCGAAGGCAGCCCCCUGGGCCAAUACUGACGCUCAUGCACGAAAGCGUGGGGAGCAAACAGGAUUAGAUACCCCCGUAGUCCCUGUCUCUUAUAC
rnacentral:rRNA from 1 species